rfam:Triticum urartu cultivar G1812 contig1193653, whole genome shotgun sequence.
CCUCUUCAAGAUGACAGCGAGCUGAUCUCCUACAUCCUUGCUGGAUUGGAUAUGGAGUAUCAGUCGCUUAUCUCUGCCCUCGACGCCCGCACACAGUCGGUCACCCUGGAUGAGCUCUUCGCCCAGAUGAGUAACUUCAACC